rnacentral:rRNA from 1 species
CGACGAAAGUCGCGUCGGGGUUGCGGGUCCGCGGUAGGACCUCGGAUUGCUAACGGAACUGCCUGGAAAGGCAGACCAAAGAGCGUGAUAGUCGCGUACGUGAAAGCGAACUGAGGCCGAGCGGGGUACCCAAGUAGGACGGGACACGUGCAAUCCUGUCUGAAUCUGCCAGGACCAUCUGGUAAGGCUAAAUACUACUCAGCGACCGAUAGUGAACAAGUACCGCGAGGGAAAGGUGAAAAGAACCCCAGUGAGGGGAGUCAAAAGAACCUGAAACCGCAUGUCUACAAGCAGUUCGAGAGCAACGCGCAAGCAAGCUCGAGAGCGUACCUUUUGCAUCAUGAUUCGGCGACUUAAUAUACGUCGCGAGGCUAAGCCGAUAGGUGGAGCCGGAGCGAAAGCGAGUCCGAAACGGGCGAUAGUGGCGUGUAUUAUAACCCGAAGCGGGAUGAUCUACGCAUGGCCAGGUUGAAGUGCGGGUAACACCGCAUGGAGGACCGAACGCAUGAGAGUUGAAAAUCUCUGCGAUGAGCUGUGCGUAGGGGUGAAAGGCCAAUCAAAUUCCGUGAUAGCUGGUUCUCCCCGAAAGAUAUUUAGGUAUCGGCUCGGGUAAUUCACUGUUGGAGGUAGAGCACUGGAACGGCUAGGGGUCUCACCAGAUUACCAAACCGUACCAAACUCCGAAUGCCAACAAGUGUUAUCCCGGGACGCAGUCGGUGGGUGAUAACGUCCAUCGGCAAGAGGGGAAUAACCCAGACCGUCAGCUAAGGUCCCCAAAUUCAGGCUAAGUGAACACUAGAAAGGAUGUGGCGGGUCAUUGACAACCAGGAAGUUGGCUUAGAAGCAGCCAUCUUUUAAAGAAAGCGUAAUAGCUCACUGGUCUAAAUAUUAAGACUUCCGGCGCCGAAGAUGUAACGGGGCUAAAACGAUUUACCGAAGCUUAGGAUGCACACUUCGGUGUGCGUGGUAGCGGAGCAUUCUGUAAGCCUGCGAAGGUGUACCGUGAGGUAUGCUGGAGGUAUCAGAAGCGAGAAUGCGGACAUGAGUAACGAGAAGAGUGUGAGAAACACUCUCGCCGAAAUUCCAAGGGUUCCUGCGUAAAGUUAAUCUACGCAGGGUGAGCCGGUCCCUAAGGCGAGGCCGAAAGGCGUAGUCGAUGGGAACCACGUUAAUAUUCGUGGGCCAGUGGAUGGUGACGCGUGGAGUAUGUUGUUCGGGAUUACUGGAUUUCCCGGGCUUCGAAUCUGCGCCAGGAAAUAGCCUCCACAUUAGACCGUACCCGAAACCGACACAGGUGGACUGGUAGAGUAUACCAAGGCGCUUGAGAGAAUGACGUUGAAGGAACUCGGCAAUUUACCUCCGUAACUUCGGGAUAAGGAGGCCUUCGGUUCGCGCAAGCGGGCUGGAGGGGCACAGACCAGGGGGUGGCAACUGUUUAACAAAAACACAGGGCUCUGCGAAAUCGCAAGAUGACGUAUAGGGUCUGACGCCUGCCCGGUGCCGGAAGGUUAAGAGGAGGAGUGCAAGCUCUGAAUUGAAGCCCCGGUAAACGGCGGCCGUAACUAUAACGGUCCUAAGGUAGCGAAAUUCCUUGUCGGGUAAGUUCCGACCUGCACGAAUGGCGUAAUGACUUCCCCGCUGUCUCCAACGUCAGCUCAGUGAAAUUGAAUUCCCCGUGAAGAUGCGGGGUUCCUGCGGUCAGACGGAAA